GGGAGGGAGCAGGAUGGUGGUCACAGGCCCAGCUGGACCAGCCUGCGCCCCUUGCCGGCGGAGCGGCUCACCCUCUUACUCUUUCCUGAGCGACCCUUUGACAGAGCGUCCCCCAACCCUGGCGGUUCUGACUUUUCCAAAGUUAGACGAAAAUGAAACGAAGGCGACACUCAGGUAAGGAAGGCAGCCGAGACUCAGAUGACCCGAGGACUCGCUGCCUCUGCCUGCAGCCGCAUCUGAGGACACCCCAUCGGCAGGCAGUGUGCUGGCCCAGAACAGAGCAGAGACGUUACCCCAGCAGGCCUUUUCCUGCCCAGCGCAUCGGAGUCAGUCUGAGCUGCUGCUUCUCUCCUCUGCGGAUCACCGUCACAUUCAGGGGCUUCUGAAAGGCAAAGGGGGUCACUCUGGCCUCAGCUUCCUUAACACUCACAGUGGACUCAAGGAGAACGCCGAGAAGCCACUUCCUGACCGUGAAAUGAUAGGGUUGCUGGGCUCCUCGCUGGACAGACUCCCGAAGCGGGUAUUAAGGAGGUUCACGUAUUCAACCACCUGGUUCCCAUUUAGGACCCUAUUCGGACACCGCCCCAGAUGCUGGAAACCGCCCCCCAAACCUGCUAACUAGUACCCGGGGCGUCUCUAAGACAAGCUCUGCCCAGCGUGGGAGGCGCAGCGGCUCCCUCUGCUCAGCAGAAGAGGCGAUUGUCGCUGUGAGGCACUCCAAGGCUGGCCUUGAGUGGCCUGACACACGGUCACCUCCCAGCUCCACCUCCUGCCCUUCUCUAGUCUCCUGGUUCUGAGCUCCACCCACCAUCCUCUGGCGGCCUCGCUUCUCCCGAGAACCAGCCCGAAGGCUCUCCUCUGGAUCAACU